rnacentral:antisense_RNA from 1 species
AUCCUCAUGUAGGAUGCCCAACAUCUGGAUGCACCCAGCAUGACUACUGGUGCUGAGCAGCCACCCACGGAGGGCAUAUGCACGAAGACAUUAAAGGUAAAAGAAAUGGCCUGUGCUGAGCAACAGAGAAAGCUGUAUCAGAGAUAAAACCAAACAGAUGAAUUACCUCACAGGAUUGCUGGUCAAAGACACUCGGAGAGACUCCAAGCAUGUGACAAGUCUCUCAUCUGCAGACCCCAUUUUCAGCUCAUGAAUGAAUUCCUGUGAUUCACCAUCCAAUGGCAGGAAAUGAAUUGCGUAAGUUCAAAAGAAGAUCAGGUGAAGUGGUAGGAAAUCAGGUGUUUCUCACGUUUUUUGUUUUUAUUAAUUUACUAUAAUGUUAUUCAAGAAAACAUUCUCAAUAAAGCAAAACAAAUUAGCACUGUAAA